UCUCCGUUGGUGAACCAGCGGAGGGAUCAUUAUCGAGUUAUUCAACACCCAAACCCUAUGUGAACUUACCACUUGUUGCUUCGGCGCGCGCUUCGGCGCCGCCGAGGACACUUAAACUCUUUGUUUUUAUAAGCAUUUCUGAGUGGCCGAAAGGCAAAAUACAAAUGAAUCAAAACUUUCAACAACGGAUCUCUUGGUUCUG
rnacentral:misc_RNA from 1 species